rnacentral:rRNA from 1 species
AUUGAACGCUGGCGGCAUGCUUUACACUUGCAAGUCGAACGGUAACAGGUUAAGCUGACGAGUGGCGAACGGGUUAGUAAUGCAUCGGAACGUGCCCAGUCGUGGGGGAUAACGCAGCGAAAGCUGCGCUAAUACCGCAUACGAUCUGAGGAUGAAAGCGGGGGACCGUAAGGCCUCGCGCGAUCGGAGCGGCCGGUGUCAGAUUAGGUAGUUGGUGGGGUAAAGGCUCACCAAGCCGACGAUCUGUAGCUGGUCUGAGAGGACGACCAGCCACACUGGGACUGAGACACGGCCCAGACUCCUACGGGAGGCAGCAGUGGGGAAUUUUGGACAAUGGGCGCAAGCCUGAUCCAGCAAUGCCGCGUGCAGGAAGAAGGCCUUCGGGUUGUAAACUGCUUUUGUACGGAGCGAAAAGGCUCUCUCUAAUACAGGGGGCUCAUGACGGUACCGUAAGAAUAAGCACCGGCUAACUACGUGCCAGCCGCCGCCGUAACAC